AGGGAGUUAAGCAGGAUGCACAUGAUGCUAUUGAGCACAUCCAACACCCAAGGAUCUGUGGCGGAGUCUUGGAAAUCAUGAUGGUGUUAUUGCCGGAAGAGAGAAGGAGCCUGCCGAAGAGAGAAAACUACUCUACCAUCAUGCACUGCGUGGUAACUGCAGAAGGCAGCAAGAACACAGAACCUCACGACGUAGCCCUACCUGGCCUGGAAUUUGCUGUCCAUGCUAGGCUGGCCAUGACCUCACCGAGGCCUGCCUUCCUCUGGCUCCAGAGUGCUGUGAUUAGAGGUACUGGGAUGCAGUGACAUCCAAGGCGAGCCUGGAGAAAGCCAUACACAGGGCUGAGAAGAUUGAGAUGGACCUUCAGCACAUGCAGGCCGAGGGCCUUGGCAGGGUAUCUGUAGC
rnacentral:lncRNA from 1 species